rnacentral:tRNA from 1 species
ACUUAAAUAGCUUAUUUAGAGCAUAAUAUUGAAGAUAUUAAGGAAAUCUUAGAUUUUUAAGUA